GACGAACGCUGGCGGCGCGCCUAACACAUGCAAGUCGAACGAGCGAGAGAGAGCUUGCUUUCUCAAGCGAGUGGCGAACGGGUGAGUAACGCGUGAGGAACCUGCCUCAAAGAGGGGGACAACAGUUGGAAACGACUGCUAAUACCGCAUAAGCCCACGACCCGGCAUCGGGUAGAGGGAAAAGGAGCAAUCCGCUUUGAGAUGGCCUCGCGUCCGAUUAGCUAGUUGGUGAGGUAAUGGCCCACCAAGGCGACGAUCGGUAGCCGGACUGAGAGGUUGAACGGCCACAUUGGGACUGAGACACGGCCCAGACUCCUACGGGAGGCAGCAGUGGGGAAUAUUGCACAAUGGGGGAAACCCUGAUGCAGCGACGCCGCGUGGAGGAAGAAGGUCUUCGGAUUGUAAACUCCUGUUGUUGAGGAAGAUAAUGACGGUACUCAACAAGGAAGUGACGGCUAACUACGUGCCAGCAGCCGCGGUAAAACGUAGGUCACAAGCGUUGUCCGGAAUUACUGGGUGUAAAGGGAGCGCAGGCGGGAAGACAAGUUGGAAGUGAAAUCCAUGGGCUCAACCCAUGAACUGCUUUCAAAACUGUUUUUCUUGAGUAGUGCAGAGGUGGGCGGAAUUCCCGGUGUAGCGGUGGAAUGCGUAGAUAUCGGGAGGAACACCAGUGGCGAAGGCGGCCUACUGGGCACCAACUGACGCUGAGGCUCGAAAGUGUGGGUAGCAAACAGGAUUAGAUACCCUGGUAGUCCACACUGUAAAACGAAGAUUGCUAGGUGUUGGGAGGAUUGACCCCUUCAGUGCCGCAGUUAACACAAUAAGUAAUCCCCCUGGGGAGUACGACCGCAAGGUUGAAACUCAAAGGUAUUGACGGGGGCCCGCACAAGCAGUGGAGUAUGUGGUUUAAUUCGACGCAACGCGAAGAACCUUACCAAGUCUUGACAUCCUGCGACGGUUCUGGAAACAGAACUUUCCUUCGGGACGCAGAGACAGGUGGUGCAUGGUUGUCGUCAGCUCGUGUCGUGAGAUGUUGGGUUAAGUCCCGCAACGAGCGCAACCCUUAUGGUCAGUUACUACGCAAGAGGACUCUGGCCAGACUGCCGUUGACAAAACGGAGGAAGGUGGGGAUGACGUCAAAUCAUCAUGCCCUUUAUGACUUGGGCUACACACGUACUACAAUGGCGUUAAACAAAGAGAAGCAAGACCGCGAGGUGGAGCAAAACUCAGAAACAACGUCCCAGUUCGGACUGCAGGCUGCAACUCGCCUGCACGAAGUCGGAAUUGCUAGUAAUCGCAGAUCAGCAUGCUGCGGUGAAUACGUUCCCGGGCCUUGCACA
rnacentral:rRNA from 1 species